GUUUCGAUAGCUCAGUUGGUUAGAGCUCGGGACUGAAAAUCCCGGUGUCGUGGGUUCGACUCCCACUCGAGACA
rnacentral:tRNA from 1 species